CUCCUGGAAACGGGUGGUAAUGCCGGAUGCUCCGACUCCUCGCAUGGGGUGUCGGGAAAGAUUUCAUCGGUAUGGGAUGGGGUCGCGUCCUAUCAGGUAGUCGGCGGGGUAACGGCCCACCGAGCCUACGACGGGUAGCCGGCCUGAGAGGGCGACCGGCCACAUUGGGACUGAGAUACGGCCCAGACUCCUACGGGAGGCAGCAGUGGGGAAUAUUGCACAAUGGGCGCAAGCCUGAUGCAGCGACGCCGCGUGCGGGAUGACGGCCUUCGGGUUGUAAACCGCUUUUGAUCGGGAGCAAGCCUUCGGGUGAGUGUACCUUUCGAAUAAGCACCGGCUAACUACGUGCCAGCAGCCGCGGUAAUACGUAGGGUGCAAGCGUUAUCCGGAAUUAUUGGGCGUAAAGGGCUCGUAGGCGGUUCGUCGCGUCCGGUGUGAAAGUCCAUCGCUUAACGGUGGAUCUGCGCCGGGUACGGGCGGGCUGGAGUGCGGUAGGGGAGACUGGAAUUCCCGGUGUAACGGUGGAAUGUGUAGAUAUCGGAAAAAAACACCA
rnacentral:rRNA from 1 species